AAUACUAGGCUUUUCUUGAAGAAAGUGACAAUGGUAUCAUAAAAGAUGCUUCAUGCCAGUGUCCAAUGGGAGAAUUUAAAUGUCACCACGUGGCAGCAACAUUACUGUUUGGUUUACGUGACCAAUUGUGGAUUUGGUGGUUGGGAAUCGACUGCGAAACGCAUAUGUCAAAACCCGAUAGGACGGCUCCCUCAGGAAGGCAGUUUAUACCAACUAUUCGAUCAUUCAGAUCAUCAAAGGAAAGUGAAAAUGGCUCAUAUGAUUACGAAGUGUCAAAGACAUGAUCAAUACACUUCACUGACCCACUCUAGCGGAGUUCCGUCUUAAAAACAGACUGUGUUGUCCUACUGACAUGGUAUACUGGGACGAAGGCGGUUUAAGGGUGGUAGGUAUUUCAGCCAUGAUUCAAAAGUAAAUAAAGUCUGGGUCAUUUUAAUGUUGUCUCUCAUUACCAAGACCCAUAGAUACCAUAGGUUCAACGUAGAUAGUUAAAAGAAUUGGUACAAUAUGUUUAACAUAUAAAGCAUGACACAAUACAUAAGACUAUGCGGAAUAGUAUCAUUAUAACAUUACAAAUUACAAGCGUCAAUAAUUCAUGUUGUAUAACCUCUAGCAUGAUAAAUCAUGUAUAAUGAUAAUAGUGAUUAUAAUCUAAUAAUAAUAAUAUCAAAUUUCAGCUCUUAAUUUGGAACACUUACAAAAAUAUUUUCCCAGUUUACUAGUACAUAAUUUUGUGACAUUUGUUGUUGACACAGUUGAAGAAGUUGAAGAAAGAGGGGUUUUAUAGUAUAUUUCUUUAUGUACAAUUUACUAACUUCAUCAUGAAAUGGACAGAUCAGAAUAGAAUGAAACUCAUGUUCACUCUGUGACAAACAACAUAAUUUACAAAGUCUUUCAUUUCUUGGAAUAUCAUAAAAUCUCCCAUACUCAAUUUCUAACUGAUGAGAAG